rnacentral:lncRNA from 1 species
AAAUUAAAACAUAAAUAUAUAUGUUUUGAUUUAAAGUUAUAAAAACCUGAAGUCCUACAUUCUGUCGAUACUUAUAUUUGGGCAUUGCACAAUUUCAUAAACUCGUCAUAGAUACCAGGAUUGAUAUUUUUAUAUUUGCGUCAGACGCGCGUUUUUAUUUUGCAAAAGACUCAUCAGUGACGCUGAAAUAAAAAACGUUAAAAAGGUCAAAAAAUAAAGUACGAAGUUGAAGAGCAAUGAGGACCAAAUAUAUCUAAAAGUUUAUCCAUCUGAAACAUGACAACUAUCCUUAUAUAUUUACAGCUGGAUGAGAGAAGUUCUUAAAAACAUACCGAUAAAAUCGAUUGAUAUGCAGCAACGAUUAUUAUUUUUCACAUUCAAAUAGUCCUUAUUCAGAUUGAAACAUGUGAAAUGUAAUGCGAAUACGUCGAGAAGAACGCAUUUACACGUUCCUAAAUCGAAAUGAUUCAAUUUUGAUUUUUUUAACUCUUUAAACAGAUAAUCUAUUGUGUAAAAAAUAAAUGUCUUUAAUUUUGUUCUACAUGAACAGAGAUAACUUUUAAUCUUUGUAUUCCCAGAAAUAAAAAAAAAUGAAAAGAUGUGGUAUACUUGCCAAUGAAACACCUUCCCACCAUAGAGAAAAUAACGCAGAAGUUAACAACGAUUAGUCACUGUAUGUCCUUGAACAAUGAACAAAAGGGAGAAAAAGACUAAUAUUUGUAUAUUCUUGUCAUGAUUAUGAGCUGAUCGGCGUGCUCACAACUUAGUUUGGGAAUAUAGGUCUAUUUUGAAAAAUUGUAUCAUGCUUAGAACUAUUUAAAUGCAUUGAUUUAUUCAAAUGCUCUUAUCGUUAAGCAGAAAAGAUUAACAUUUUUUUCGCUAAAUAAUGAAUUGUAUAUAUAUUUCAAAUAAAAUUAUCUAACAGAUAAAUUCUUUAAGAUGAACAAUUGCGCUUUAGAAAUAUCUUUUCCUUAGUGUGGUUACCAGCUAAAACAAAAUAUUGAUUGUGUUGUCUUUAUCAUACGAGGAGUCACCUAUCUAUUGUUCCCGGGUCAUCGGUUUACCAAUUGUAAUAUCACAUUUAGUUUUACAGUUAUGCAAAUAUCUUUAUUUCUAUGGAAAUAAAGAUUGCAAUUAAUACAGGCAGGAA